CGUACAGUGGCUUAGUGGUUAGCACGUUCGCCUCACAACUCAAGGGUUGGGGUUUCGAUUCCAGCCUGUGUGU